ACUCCUACGGGAGGCAGCAGUGGGGAAUUUUGGACACUGGGCGAAAGCCUGAUCCAGCCAUGCCGCGUGCAGGAUGAAGGCCUUCGGGUUGUAAACUGCUUUUGUACGGAACGAAACGGCCUUUUCUAAUAAAGAGGGCUAAUGACGGUACCGUAAGAAUAAGCACCGGCUAACUACGUGCCAGCAGCCGCGGUAAUACGUAGGGUGCAAGCGUUAAUCGGAAUUACUGGGCGUAAAGCGUGCGCAGGCGGUUAUGUAAGACAGUUGUGAAAUCCCCGGGCUCAACCUGGGAACUGCAUCUGUGACUGCAUAGCUAGAGUACGGUAGAGGGGGAUGGAAUUCCGCGUGUAGCAGUGAAAUGCGUAGAUAUGCGGAGGAACACCGAUGGCGAAGGCAAUCCCCUGGACCUGUACUGACGCUCAUGCACGAAAGCGUGGGGAGCAAACAGGAUUAGAAACCCGUGUAGUCCC
rnacentral:rRNA from 1 species